UAAAAGAAGUACAGCAAAAAUCUCCUAGGUAUGACAAAGUGUGGCUCUAAAUUUUCUAGCCACACUUUUUGUGUUUUGCCAUAUUUGCUCUAGGUUAAUUUUGGCAAAUUAUGUUUAGAAACCAAACAGCCCCGGAAUUGGACAUUUCUCUCAGAAGGAAAAAAAAAUUAAAGCAGCAAAGGUUCUAUUGAAACUUAAUCAGAAGCCAGCACUCCCAAAUCAUCUUCUGAUAACAUGGAGUGCUUCUGGCAGGUACAAACGAAUUCAGGAAUUAAAGAAUGACAUCGCAACCAAAAUUCUCCUAACCCCU
rnacentral:lncRNA from 1 species